GUGAGGAAUUUUCCGCAAUGGGCGAAAGCCUGACGGAGCAAUGCCGCGUGAAGGAUGAAGGCCUAUGGGUUGUAAACUUCUUUUCUCAGAAAAGAAUUAUGACGGUAUCUGAGGAAUAAGCACCGGCUAACUCCGUGCCAGCAGCCGCGGUAAUACGGAGGGUGCAAGCGUUAUCCGGAUUCACUGGGUUUAAAGGGUGCGUAGGCGGAUAAAUAAGUCAGUGGUGAAAUCAACGGGCUCAACCUGUUAACUGCCAUUGAUACUGUGUAUCUUGAAUAUGAGAGAGGUAGGCGGAAUGUUGCAUGUAGCGGUGAAAUGCUUAGAUAUGCUACGGAACACUGAUUGCGAAGGCAGCUUACUAUUUCGUAAUUGACGCUGAGGCACGAAAGCGUGGGUAGCGAACAGGAUUAGAAACCCCGGUAGUCC
rnacentral:rRNA from 1 species